GCCUCCAUCGGUCUGCCCCCGUCUGCGAAUAACCAAGCUAAAAUUCCUGCGAAGGAUAUUCUAGGGUUUCUAGCUCAUUCACUGCAAUUUCACACGCAAGGAUAUUCUAGGAUAUUCUUCGACAAUCUCACACGCAUUUCUUGGAUCAGUGUAAGAAAUUAGUCUGGAAACAGACUAAUUUCAACAUGCACUCACAUUUCAGUACACAUUGUUGACACUCUCCACAAAAUAAACGGAAGGAUGAGAGGAUAUCAAGAAGACUCUCCGGCAUUCCGUCGAUUCCGUCUCCGAGCUCAGGUCUUUCUCUACAGUUCUUCCUCUCCCGAAUGCAUACACAAACAUCACAGCAAUUGAGCAAAAGGUUGCAAAUCACUGAGUAAGUAAUAAUUUCAGAUUAUUUGAAUAAAAAAAAGCAGGUAUGUUUCCACAUUACCGUCUCCUUCAACCUGCAAUUUCCUUUUUCCACAAAUGAUAUCUGUACUCUUCAGUUUUUGCAUUGUUGUUGAUAUUGCUUGAUAUGUAUUUGGAGGCAAUUGAAUUUAUAUUCCAGUAAAUAGGAAAUAGAAAUCUGGUUCAUUAAAUGUUAGGUAUAUAUAGAUACAAAUUCUAUACUUGUAUAGAAGUCACUAUAAAAAAUUAAGCUAAGAAGUCAAACCUUACCAUUGCUUGACAAUAGGAAUAGGUGUAUGGCUAGUAUUGGGUAUUGUGUAACUUGUAUUCUACUCAAAUACUUUUCAGUGUUUUUGUUGUUAUAAUUUUUAUAUCAGCAGAUAAAUAUUCAAAAAUAGAGUCAAAUGAUGAAAAAAGGAGGGUGAUGCCAAUUUUUUCAUGUGUUGCAGCCACAGAUCAAAAUCAGAUUUGUGUGUGUGUGUGAGACUUUAUGUAGAUAAGUUAGGCUUUAGACACCCUCUCUAUUUAACUUAAUGAAUGUAUUGAUUUAAUGUGACUACUUGUGUGUUUUCAAAAAAAAUGUGACUACUUGUAACUAUCUUGUCCAAAUUGUAUGUGAUUUUGAAGUUAAAUACACAACUUGUUGCAUAAAAAAUUACUUUUUAAGUAGCAAAUGAUGACAAAGGAGUCUAAUGCUUUUUUUUUGGGUCACACAUUUGACUUUUCUGUAUUCAUUUAAAACUGAUAAUGUCAUAUUUGAAUUACUUUAAUUUGAACUGAAAAUUUGAUAGAUUGAAUCAUUAUCUGUUAGAUAUAUAUGUGAAUGGUAUUCUACUGAUAGUUUACACCAAAUGUAACCUUAAAAUCAUCCAUAGAUAACUUUAGCAUUUAAGCACAUAUUACAAUAGAAUGGACAAUGAUAACUCUAGGAUAAAUGAAUACCUGUUUCAUGAAGUAUAUCUGUUCAAUAGAAGUGAAAACUGCAUGAUUAGCCAGAACUGCAGUAGACAGAACACCAUAACCAAGCCUAGAGGCAGAAUGUAUACACCUUAACAGUGUCAGAUUAUAGCUACAAACAGAAAAGAAGACACAGUUUAGAAACUGGAAAAUCAUACAGUAGUAUAACUAAAACAGCAAUAGCUGUUAACUCACAUGUUCUUCAAUGGAAAUGAACAUACCCUACAUUUAAAAGGAAAUGAAAAAAAAAUAAUUUGAUAGGAAGAAUAUAAGGUAAAUAAUGAUAGCAUCCUAGUAUAAAAAGAUCAAACCUGUUAUACUGGAAAACACAUUCAUGGCUUAACUUUUUCUGAUUUCAUUUCAGUGACAACAUACUUACAGCAACCUUAUUGCCUUGGUGGUUCGUUGAGGAUGAAGCUGUGCAGUAUUAACUGCCCAGACAUGGUGGACAAUAUCCAGCAACAAAACAACUGAUGUUCAAUACUUGUACUUUCUGUGCAAUUCGAAGUUCCAAAGCUCUAAGAUGAUGUUGUCUAGUUCUCUAAAUUUGUGUGUAAAUAGCUGUGAAGUAUAUGUAUUUAUAGAGGUAAAAGCAGGUUUGUAAAAUUAAAAAAAAUAUAUACAUAAACAGUACUUUCAAUGUAUCCCAUCAGCAGUGCAGCCCCA